AGCAUGUGUUUGAUGAUCUCAGUGGCUCAGUAUCUUUGUCCUGCGUUCGAGAUCGCACUGGGGUUAUUCUAGUCUUGACUACCUUCCAUGUACCACUGGUAAUUAUGACCUUUGGACAGUCCAAGUUAUAUCGGAGUGAAGAUUAUGGAAAAAACUUUAAGGAUAUUAAAAAUCUCAUCAAUAACACCUUCAUUCGUACUGAAUUUGGCAUGGCAAUUGGUCCUGAGAAUUCUGGAAAGGUGAGACU